UUGCUUCAGACCGUGGAUGAAAAAUAGUCAAUGUGGCCCUCUUAGAAAAUUAAAGAAUCGCAUGAAGGCAACAAAAAUAUCGUCUUCGUCAUUUUCGUUGCUGUUCUGGGUCAGCUUUCAGUGGAACCAACCACCUGUGAACCAAAUCAUAGAGCAUACUGUCGCAUACUUUCUUAAUUUUGCCAAGCUGGGUUUAAUCCUCCGCUUCAGCAGCAAGAUCUGAUGUGAAACUCUCUCUUCACGGCUUUGGAAGGGUCAGUUUGGAUUGAAGAUGAAAGAUAUAACUUCCCGAUUGGGAGGAAUGUGUGAGCAAAGAAUUGAGCUAGGAUUUCGAGUAGCUAAGGAAGGAACGGUUCGAUCUGCAUGGAAAGGACCACGUAUUAUUGAUUUAGCAACAGAACUUGGGGAAAAUAAAACUAAAAUUAUUGAAAUGGUUACGAAGGAUGAAGAAACUCAUCAUUGGUGUAAUAAUUUAUUUAUUGGUAUGGGAGGAGUUGGCAAGAUUAUAUGACUUACUUUAGGAUGUUAAGUUCUAGGAGAUUGCAAACCAAAAUUAUGGGUAUGUGUCUCCGAAGAUAUUGGGCUGAUGCUUGAAGUUUUUAGGUUGGGUUGGGUCUAUUGUACCCUGUGCAUGUAUAAGGUUUUUCACUACAUCUAGUUUAGGGUUUUGAUAGAUCACUAAUCACCAAGUAUAUACCAAUGAGUGAAAAAGAGAAAGUUGUGGUCCAGAGGUAAGAGGGCAGAAUAAAAAAAAGAAAGAAAGAAGAAAAGAGGCAGAGAAGAAUUGUGAAGAGUAGAGAAGAGGGGGAGCACUGACCUCUUGAAAGCUGGUUGGGUGGGGAAUACUUGCUGUGUUUUCUGGAUUUAUAUCACUUAUGAUGUAAUGAAAUGCUAAAUAGAGUUGUGAAACUCUUUAUUCUAUUUCUGGAGAAUCAUUCAAUACAAAUAUCAGUUUAUAUGCACUUGUUUGAGUGUAAUGUUACAUACAAAAUACAAAAGUAUCAUUAGCCAUAUACAUUUCCCUCGUAUUACAUUUCUCAGCAAUCCUCCAGUAAGCAAGACUUGCGGCAGCAGAGCAGAGUAAUUCCAGAAAGCCAGCUCCAAGUCUGUAUCAGAUAAGUGAUAUUCAAGAGUCCUCCACAGAUAUAGAUUUUAUAAUGUUGAUCAUUUUCAAUGCUCAGAACUUCAUGAUUGAUCGAGAGGAUGAAAAUGAAAGUUAUGUGAAGAAAUUCUCUAAAGGAAAUUGGUUGAGUGCAGAAGCACUCUUCUGCAUGAAAGUCAUUGAGAAAGAUGGGUGAAAUGGUGGAGACUUGGUCGCACAGUUGGGGAUAAUGUCAGAAUCAAUCUUCUGUCGAGGCAAACGCUUUGGGCAGGAUUAUGGGGUUGAGGAACAAUCCCUGAUUGAUAUGCAAAGGGUCACGUAACACUUUGAAAUGUUGAAUGGUGAAAUAGACUCUUUGGGUGAACGAAUGGAUGCUAGGUUGGACAACUUGGAUGGAAUGUCGAUCAGCUAAGCGAAGAAGUUUAAGAAACCUUUUCUCAAAUUCUGUACAAGAGGAUGGACAACGCACUGCCUCCUUACGAGCUUACAUGCAUCUCUUUCAUGUUUUUUUCUGCAUUCAUGACAAAUUUCUCAUUUUAGGAAAAUUUUACAAUUCACUUGUUCUAUUUUGUUUAGUUGAACUCCUAAUGUAGUUUGCUCUAACUUUGUUGAACUUUUGUUAAAUUUGGAUAUUGGAUAUUGAAAUUGUUGGAUGUGUUGUUUUUAUAUGUUGGAUAAUUAACAUUGGGAUGUAUUUUGUUGAA